rnacentral:snRNA from 1 species
UGACUAUACUGGCAGGGGAGACACCAUGAUCUUGAAGGUGGUUUUCCCAGGGUGAGGUUCAUCCAUUGCACUCUGGGUGUGCUGAUGCCUGUGAUUUCCCCAAAUGCAGGAAACUCCACUGCAUAAUUUAUGGUAGUGGGGGACUGCAUUCGCGCUUUCCCCUG